GACGUCACUGGCGCGGCGCGUGGUGGCCUCUCAAGAGUGCAGGCGCUGUGGGGCGUCAGCUGGACAAAAGCUGACCCGACUUCAUUUAUCUGCCUCGACCCCGACCCCGGCUGGUAGACAGCACUCCUGAUGCACGGGACGAGGGAGCAGCACGAGCAAAGGCCCUGAAACAGGAGGGAGAGCGUUAACUUAGGUACUACUGGGCUUUCUUGACUGAAGUCCCUGAAGAGGAAACAAAUAUUUUCCAGCUGGGCCACCACCUGUGACAAGUUGUCAUUUGCACGGAGCUGGGAUUCUGUUCUGGUGGCUGCAUCUGCUGUGUACGUCUCCAUAGCCACAGGGGCUGGCAUGGCAUCUGGCAUAUAGCAGGACAGCUCUACUGUGCUACUUCAGCUCCAGAACUUUCCCCAGGGAUGACUGAGGCCUUUGUUGCGACUGCAUCUGCAUCGCAGCUCAACUCCUCUGCCUGGUCCUGCUGACCUCACUCCCACGCAGGUGCUGCCUCCAAGAGCACUCCCCAAUAAACCUGCUCACUCGUCCGUGGGCUUCCCUGGGAACCUGACUUCUUACUCUUCUCAAGCCAUAACCGUGUCAUUCAUCCAUUCAUUCAGUAAAUAUGUACUGAACAGCUAUGCCCCAGGCAUUGUUUUGGGAUCCAGCAGCAACCCCAGACAGACCAGGACUGUUUGUGUAGGGAUACUGGCCAUCGAGUUUUUAGAUUUCACCAAGACUGAACCUCAUCAUCUCCAGCCCCACCAUGGCCAUGCCACUCCUGGGAGGCCUGGCUGCUUCAGCUCCCUAGAGUGGCCCUUAGAAGGUGUGGACAGGUGUGGGGACAGGAAGGGAGCAGACCCAGGAGCCCAGGUCUGUGGAGUCAGGCAGACCCAGGUUCGAAUUCAACUUAGUGCUUUUUUGCAUUUCCCUAGUGACUAAUGAUAUUGAGCAUCUUUUCAUGUGUUCACUGGCUUUUGUAUAUGGUGUUAGUCCACUUUUGUUGCUAUAAAGGAAUACCUGAGGCUAAGUAACUCAUAAAGAAAAGAGGUUCGGGCACAGUGGCUCACACGUAUAAUCCCAGCACUUUGGGAGGCCGAGGUGGGUAGAUCACUUGAGGUCAGGAGUUCAAGACCAACCUGGCCGACAUGGUGAAACCUCGUCUCUACUAAAAAUACAAAAAUUAGCUGGGUAUGGUGGUGCGUGCCUGUAGUCCCAGCAACUCGGGAGGCUGAGGCAGUCAAGACAGUGCACUACAGCCUGGGUGACAGAGCGAGACUCCCUCUCAAAAAAAAAGAAAGAAAAGAAAAGAGGGCUGGGCGUGGUGGCUCAUGCCUGUAAUCCCAGCACUUCGGGAGGCUAAGGUGGGAAGAUUACUUGAGCUUAGGAAUUCGAGACCAGCCUGGGCAACAUAGCGAGACCUUGUCUCUAUUAUAAAUAAAAACAAAAAGUUAGCUACCAAAAAUUAGGUGGCGUGCACCUGUAGUCCCAGUUACUUGGGCAGCUAAGGUGGGAGGAUCGCUUGAGUCUGGGAGACUGAGGCUGCAGUGAGCUAUGAUCACACCAUUGCACUCUAGCAUGGGUGACAGAGUGAGACCCUGUCUC